UGUAGACUCGCUAAUAUCGGGUCUAUUCGACAAAGGCUCCAAAGGAAGCCACGGCUAACUCUGUGCCAGCAGCCGCGGUAAUACAGAGGUGGCAAGCGUUGUUCGGAAUUAUUGGGCGUAAAGAGCACGUAGGUGGAUUUGUAAGUCAGACGUGAAAGCCUUCUGUUCAACGGAAGAAUUGCAUCUGAAACUACAAACCUUGAGUGUAGGAGGGGAGAGUGGAAC
rnacentral:rRNA from 1 species